AAAAUAAUUGUAGAAAAAGUAUUGGCUUCAGAGAAAAUUAUUCCAAAUGUCUAUAUAAGAUCCAGUACGGGAUCGAAAGUUAUUGUGAUUGCUGGCACUUGUAGUGCUGCCUGUAAUGGUGUU